AUCUGGGGUGAGUCUGCACAUUCCUCUAAUCACCUUAAGUCAUUGCAGGUGGGCGGCUCUGGAGAGCGGCCAGCUGCAGUGAGUUUCCCUCAUCGGCUACAUGGGUUUAUAAGGAGCUGGAGAUCACUUCACCUCGCCGGAAGAUUACUCACCUUGGGAAUUCUCACCACGAACCUUUCCUGCAAUAACCUGGUUUUUCAUCUCCAAGCCUGAUCUCCCUCCUCACCAGAACCGACCCGCUCUCCCACCGCUCACCUUCCUUGGAUUUUGGAUUCAUGCUGAAGUUGCUCACCCCAGUCCUGGCUACCCUCCCAAGCUCUGGAUCUCAGCCCCACAACCCAGCCCGGAGCUCUGCUCAGCCUCACCGCCACGUCUGGCGGUGCACCUUUAGUUCUACUUAAAAUAAA